GCCCUUGUGCACCUGUUUUUAUGUGGGUCAGUUUCAGUCCUCAGCCUCAAUGGGGUUUUUGUUUGGGAGUGUUUAUGUAGGGAGUUCCUGGGGCCAGCUGUCCUGGUUUCUGAGUCUCCUGUGACUACAGCUUGCCUGGCUGUAGGAAUCAAUGAGAGAUGUCCUCUACCCCAGUGAACAGGAACUCCCGUCUUACAUCAGCAUCCUUUCCACACAGUUCUGCUGCUCUUGCUGCAGGCCCAUCGUUCCUCUAAGUCUCUAAGCAUUCUUUUCAAGAAACAUUUUUAUACAUGAAAACUCAGGCUAACCUAGUGAGUAUGAUCUUGGAACGCCCAUGAUCAACCACUUCAAAGAUCAAAGUAUUAUAUGCUGUGUGCUUCUUAGUUGUGAGUGCUGCGCGUGCAAAUCUGCUUUCCGAUUAGUGCACCAGUGCAAACAGGCUGUACACUAGAAACAGGCUGCAGCCCUGUCACAACAGCAUGUUGAGUGUGCUUGUGCGUGCUUGUCUACAGUCCUGUCACAACAGCAUGCUGAGUGUGCUUGUGCGUGCUUGUCUACAGUCCUGUCACAACAGCAUGCUGAGUGUGCUUGUGCGUGCUUGUCUACAGUCCUGUCACAACAGCAUGCUGAGUGUGCUUAUACGUGCUUGUCUACAGUCCUGUCACGAGUGUGCUAGGUGUGCUUGUGCGUGCUUGUUCUCAGUCCUGUCACAACAGUGUGCUAGGUGUCCUUGUGCGUGCUUGUCUGCAGCCCUGUCACAAGUGUGCUAGGUGUGCUUGUGCGUGCUUGUCUACAGUCCUGUCACAACAGCAUGCUGAGUGUGCUUGUGCGUGCUUGUCUGCAGCCCAUUGUGCAGGCCAGUGAGCUGGGUUUGCUGUUGGGAGAGUAGGUUGUCUGCAAUUUGUUCCCGUAACAGUCUCUCCUGCCAGGGUGAUGCUCCCCUGAUCCAGCUCCACCUCGGGCAGGGGCACUACAGUUUUUCAGUCACCUGUCAUCUUUGGUGGACUUGUCACCAACCAGAAAGCAUGUGUGUCACAUCUCUAGAAAGAAGAAAACGGUUCAAUUCCUAAUGUAUACUUUUGACUUUAACUUUUAUAGUAAAAAUAAGAAUCCACGCUGACUUCCCAUAUGACCAUUCUGAUUUUACAGGAUACCAGCUAAGCACUGUGUUUUUUCUGUAGCAAUGUGUCAUUUAGUGCUUUUGUAAAAUGAGUAAAAUUUGAGGUGUUUGGCAAGAA